AUGACUGGGGACUGCCGACAUUCAGGAAAGAUGAAUCUGAGUCUUUGUGGAGCCUUUGUACCACCUCACAAAGGAAGCAUCUCCAUCUUCAAUAUUUCUAUUUGUAGCUCUCUGGAAACCGGGUAUGAAAACAGAAGAAAUAGUCAAGUGGUUUGAUUUAUGAAUAAGAUUUUACCAGAAAGAUACAGAAGAAAAACCAAAAAGCAAGAGAGUUGUCAAAGACUGUUAUAAAUUAAAUAACAGUAUGAGGUCUGUACAGUUUUGAGAAAUGAGAGAAAGAAGAACCAAGAGGGACUGAAGAUCAAAAAAAUUGAAGAACAGGUGUAAGGUGAGUAUAGAAAUAAGAGGUCUAGAAUAAUAGAAAAAGGUGGUAUAACAAUGCAGAUGUUUAGAUUUUGCAGGAGGAACAAUUCAGGUUGCAAAGGUGUAGCCCAAAGCUGACUGUGGGUCUGCGUAGGAUGAGAUGGUAGAGCUGAGAAGAUCAAUGAACCAUGAAAAAGGGUGUUGGGUGUGCUGUUACUCAUAGCAAUCCUCAUAAGCAAUAUUUAUUUAUCACUGUCUACGGGUCAGCAUUGUGGUGAGCAAAUUACGUGCAUAAUUGCACAGCCUUUUUGAAGUAAGUACUAUUAUUAUGUUUUACAUAUGAGGAAACUAAGGGUCAGAGAAAUUAUGUAACUUGCCCAUGGUGAUGCAACUGGUACUUAGCAGAACUGAAUCUCAAACCCACUUCUUUUUCAUUUCAAAGCCUGUGCUUAUUUCAAGAAAGAUGGCGGUGUUUGGGAUGAAGAGGAUGACAGGGAUUCAGAGCCCAUAGUCAUUACUGAGUAUGGAAAAGUGGUCAGGAGUUCUGUAGAUGACAGCUAUGAAGAAGAAGAAAAUGAAAAACCUGAACAUCCAAAGAGGAAGGAUUUUUGCAUGAGUGCUUAGGUUUACAAAUGGUGUUGGGAGUUAGAAUAAUGCCCUUCAGCCCCUAUCCUGGGGUAUAUGGACAGAAGAGAUUGAUCAGUCCUGUGCAGGUUUUAAAUGAGUGCUAGUAAGAAAUAAUUAUGUUGCCUCCACGGAAACCUGAGCCCAUAUUUGAAGACAGAAAUGGUAUUGGGUGGUUCUAUAAGCUUGACCUUGUAUUGCAAACAUCUGGAGUCCCCAGGUAAAUAGGGGAAUCAGGACUUAAGCCUCCCCUCUCUGGAAGGAGCCAGCUGUGGCCCAAAGGGUCACACACUUCUGAGGAGAUGGAAUGUUAUCUGUGAAAAUUAACAUAGGCUUUGUAAGGAGAAUGACUAAGGCUUUGGCUGCUAGCCAAAUCAUUCUCAUCACUGAAGACCCUUGAAGGCUUUGCUGGUCAUCUCAGUUCUCUUGAUUCCCCACCUUUUGGCUCCUACAGUCUCUGAUUUUGCCUUCUAUUAUGCUGUAUAUUUUUCAUGUUCUUCAUUGUAGUAUACAUGUCAUUGUUCAAUCCCAAAUAAAUGAUUUGUUCAUCCUAAUAAAGUGCUGAGCAUGCAGUUGAUGCUUAAUAGGCAUUUCUUUGGCUCUCUAGAAGAAGUGACAAGAGCUUUUAAUAUACCAUUUUGUUUGCUUUUAUCAUCUCUUAAUAUAUGUUUCUAUGGCUGAUACAUAGUCUUAUUUUUCUUUUGAGAACUUGAAGCCCUUUAGUCAAGGUGUGCCCUGAGAGAACUACAAGAGUCAUAACAUAAAAUCCCCAGGAAAAGUGACCGGCCUCAACUCUGUCUACCAUGCAGAAACAACUGGGAGAAAGAAUGCCAUACAGAAGGAAUGCAUAGCAUCCCAUAGGAUAGACUGAGGCUUUCAGGUAUGACCCACAGAUGAGGAGUAUUUAGAGUUCUUUUGUUUUUCUUACCAUAGAGAAAUGAUUUGCUUUACUGAAAUAGAAAUUGCAUUUUCUGAAGAGCAUGAAGAAUGAUUAGUAACUCCAUUUUCUCCAUCUCUUUCAAGUUUAUCCAUUGUAAUGGUAUAUUGUUUAAUCAAGAAAAUGCAUCUCCUUUCUAAGGAUAUAGCCAACUGGGGGCUUCCAAAAUUGUUGAUGCAUAGGUCAUAUUAAUAAGUAGGGCAUGUGUGCUUAUGAGGACUGGUGAGCUGAAGGAGAGAGAAUGUAAUAACAAAUACAUUUGCCUCAGGUUCACAUAUCCACUGCCCAGUCUCUAAAUACCAUGAAAUUUCUGACCCACAGAUAUUACUGCUAAAUUUUAUCAAAUAAAGAAAUAGGAGGAUUUGAACUCUGAGCAAAAGACCAGCUGAACAGCUAAACAGGUCAUCUUCACUAGCUUUGGAGAGUAAUGGCAGAGAAAGCUAUGUUAAUUUGCUUGCCACAGGAAGUCCUCAAUUAUCAUCAGUCAUUUGACGGAAGAAACUAGAAUCAAACACAUGAGACAGAAUCUGACUCCAUCCAAGCAACAGCUAAUCUACGAAAAAUAAUCAGUAUGACCACUUUGAUUAUCCCAAGCAGAUUUGUUUUUUGUUAUUUCUGUGUGUGGUUCUUUGUUUGUGUGUUUGUUUUGAGAUGGAGUCUCGCCCUGUCUCCCAGGCUGGAGUGCAGUGGCAUGAUCUAGGCUUACUGCAUCCUCUACCUCCCAGGCUCAAGUGAUUCUCCUGCCUCAGCCUCCCGAGUAGCUGGGAUUACAGGCGCCUGCCAGUACACCUGGCUAAUUUUUGUAUUUUUAGUAGAGACGGGGUUUCACCACAUUGGCCAGGCUGGUCUCGAACUCCUGACCUCAUGUGAUCUGCCCAGCUUGGCCUCCCAAAGUGCUGGGAUUAUAGGCAUGAGCCACCACACCUGGCCUGUUUUUAUUUGUUUAUUGGUAUGCUUGACUCACCUGAAUUAGGCUCUAGAGUUUAGUAAGUAUGAGGACCAGAAUAAAAGUGGAGUAGAGUGAGGAGGGAGUAUAGCUGGCAUUGAACUGGCAGGUUGAAGAGAUCUAAAGAGUCUGUGUUUUAUUCAAAGUUGAAUGAGAAGCUUUGGGUGGGUUUUUGAAGGGAAGGGUGUGGUCUGACUUUUUUUGUUUGUUCAUUUGUUUUCAGAUCACUCUCUUGCUGUGUAGGGGAUGGGUUUGAGGGGCAUCCAGGGGGAGCUGUUGGAAGGCUCCGGCAGGAGAGCAGCAGAGAGAGACAUGCUCUGACCAGAAUCACAGCAUUAGGAAUGCAGGGAUUGCUAAGAGGUCUGAGGCAGAGGAACCAACAAGUAAGACUAAAAUAUUUGAAUUGUUUUCAAACGGAAGUAGCAGUAGAAUUAAGAGUGAAGCAUGGAAAAUAUAAUUUUUGUUCAGUUUACUGAGAUUUUAUCUCAUAUUUGAACAUGUAAUAUUUUCAUUUCACAAGUCUAAUAAACACCACAUCCUGAUCACUAAAAAUAGCAAAUUAAAUGAGCAAAAAUGCAUUUGUUCUGGUCUUUUUACAGCAUUUCAUGUAUCAGAAAAUAAUUAUGAAAAGGAAUAUUAAGUCGGCUGGAAGCAUCAUAAUUGUUCUGGAACAAAUUCUGCCUAACAUAACUUAAAAGGCCUUACCAAAUUCUACAACAAUCCAUUUAAAUCAAACACACUAAGAUUUAAAUCCAUAAAAUGACUAUGCAGUUAGUUUAAAACAUUGGUGCUUGUCCCCUCUUGGUCACACGACAACUCGUAAAGUGAAUAAAUGUUGAUAAAUAUCAAAAACAACAAAGACUCUUGGUGUACAGAUUUACACAGGUGUGUAAGAAGUGUCCAUUGAUUGCCUUUACAUCCAGGUAGAAUCAGCUCUGGUCCCUCAUCUCACUUACCCCUAGGGCGAUUGCUCUCAACAGGCUGUGAGAUUCCAACCUCUUUACUCCCAAGGAAAUCUUUCCCACCCUCUCUCCUUAACUUGAAAAUUGUUCCCCUCUAUUUUCCUCUGUCCUUCAAGAUAACAUAUUAAUCACUUCAAUGAGCUAGACUUUUUGAAAAACAAAGGCCAGAAAUUAAAGCAGUAUCUUAAAAAUGGCUUCAGAUUUUGUCCCUAACAUUAAUUUCUCCUAAGGGCUGGACCUAGAGACUUCCUUCUAACAAAUAAAAUAUAGCAAAAGUCUUAGAAUGUCACUUCCAUGGUUAGGUUACAAAAGAUUAUUUUGGUCAUGCUGGUACUCUCUCUCUGGCCCUGUCACUUGACUUCUGUAACAGGAACUAGCAGUCAUGUUCCCAGCUAUCAUAUGGAGAGGCCCAUGUGGUGAGAAACUGAGAGCAGCUUCUGGCCAACAGCCAGUGAGGAACUGAGGCCCUCAGUCCAACAACCUUUGAGGAACUGAAUCCUGCCACAAUCACGCGAGGAAGCUUAGAAAGGCUCCUUUCUCACACCGUAUCCCAUAAGACCAUAGCCCUCCUCAACUCUGAAACCUCUGAGGCUCUGGAGCAUAGAACCCAGAUAAGCUGUAUCCAGAUUCUUGACCUGUGGAAAACUGUGACAAUGGAAAUGCUGUUGCUUCAAGAUUUGAGCUAAUUUGUUAUACAGCAACAUGCAACUAACACAAACUGCCAAGCAAUUGUGUUACUUUUGUCAAAGUGUGAAGUUCAGAAAUCCAGUAAGAGGGUCUUAGUUAUGCUUAUCGAAUGUUCUGUUCACUAUACGUAUUAACAAAUAUUUGUCAUUGAAUGAAUGAGAAAAUAUAAGCAUAACCAAAAUACAGACACACCACGGAGAAAGACCUGGAGUCGUUCUUUUGGUAUUUUUGUAAUUUUUUUUGAAAGUUGUAGAAAAUUGAGUAACCGACAGUGUUUUAAUAACGUCCUUGAGGUAAAUGAU
rnacentral:lncRNA from 1 species